rnacentral:lncRNA from 1 species
AGCCACCUCCUGCCAUCCUGUGAACUGAACAGUGGGGAGACUCACCCUGUGAGGGCUUAAGGGAGGCCUGGGGCCAAACACAUUGUGGAAUCAGCCCCUCCAAGAGCUCCAAGGAUCUGAGUCUACUAACAUCACAUGGCUGAUGGAGAAAUAGAUCCUCUCACAGAGUUGGCUGACUUGGUUAGAGACGCUGAGGGCCCAAAGCCUGGUCAACCCAGGAUAAGCCUUGAUUGAGGUUGUAGACUUACCAAGACAGAAAACCUACAGGAGGCGUGAGAAGUCAGUUCCAGGAGGCCGAGGCCGGAGGGACUCAAGUUCAAGGCCUGCUUGGACUCCAUCGAAUCGUGCCAACCCAGACAAGUUUGUAGGCUCCUGUCUCAAAAAUCAGAAAGUCAGUAAGAAAUCUGGAGAUGCAACUCAGCGGGAAGAUGCUGGCCUUGCACGGAUGAAACCCUAAAUGCACUCCCCAGUACAACGCAUGAACAAACAAACAUCAAAAGCCUUUGACCACACACAGUACCAAUAAAGAGAAGAGAA